rnacentral:lncRNA from 1 species
ACCAGAUGCUGGAGCAGUAGAGAUGAAAGCGGGCGCUUUCUUGCCCCCUGAGAAGAGGCCUUCUUUCCUCACAAGGGCAGCCNUUGACCUUUUGGAAAACAACGUCCGGCAGAAAAAGCUCCGGCACGCGUGGGGACUGCCGUCUACCGUGCUAAAGUCCGUGGCUGCUUUUGCUCCGCUUCUCCUUGGUCCAAAGAAGAGGGCAGNGCAGGGCACAACUGCAGUAGACCCAGCUGGCACAGCAGAAGUGCAGACCGUCAGCCGGAGUCUUGGGUUCCUGGAUCCGGAAACAAAAGGGCAGCUGGAAACCCACGUAAGAGGAUUGGCUGCAAAGCACAGAUGGCAAAUCCCCAAACAGGCUCUGAUAUCGCUGAAGGGAUUUGGGGUUCCCAAACCCCGCUCUUAUCCGGAACCACCUCAGGCAGGGAGUCCCUUGCCAGCUCUGAGCGAAGCGCUGCAGGUUCAGGAGUCACAGAGGGUAAAGAAAGCCAAGGAGGGAUGGGAAGGAUAUGGAGAAUAUGGAGAAGACGAAGGGCCUUCCAGCCAUUUCCCCAACCACCCAGGCGAGACCAACACAGGAAAAGAACUCACCUCAGAGUGUCCAUAUAUGGUCCAUGAAAGAGACCAAGGGGACAUGGAGGUUUCCUGGCAGGCAGUUAAAAGGUCCGCCUUCUGUUCUCACCUCCAGAUCCAGAAUUUUUCAGCUGUCCAGGAGACGGCGGGCAGCUUGGAGCCUCAGACUGAAGCUGCCGAUAAGAAGAUGCACUCGACGAAGCUCUCCAAAGCAGGACGGGAGGAAAAAGCGUGCAAGGUAGUCAACUGUCCCUGCAUAUGUCACGUGUCAACAUCCCAGGCAGACCUGGUUACCUCGUUUGCCCUGGGAUCGGGACACCAACCCCAGCAGCAAUGGGAAGCCCGAAGAAAGACCCGGAGAUACAAGGUGAGCUCUUCCUUUCUGCCACCUAAGGAUAAGAGACCACAGAGUUCUGGCUCGUCUUCAGGGGAAAGCAAGAGGAAGGCUUCUCCCUGGAGUCAGGAUGCCAGCCCAGAAGAACCAGAGCCCUUGGAUCCAGAGGCUGCUCUGCAGGGUGAAUCAUCCCCUUCCCACCUGGCCUCGGGUUUCUUCCUCCAGGCGUCUUCUAUCUCCGAG